GUGGGGAAUAUUGGACAAUGGGCGCAAGCCUGAUCCAGCAAUGCCGCGUGAGUGAUGAAGGCCUUAGGGUUGUAAAGCUCUUUCGCCCGCGACGAUGAUGACGGUAGCGGGAGAAGAAGCCCCGGCUAACUUCGUGCCAGCAGCCGCGGUAAUACGAAGGGGGCGAGCGUUGUUCGGAUUUACUGGGCGUAAAGGGCGCGUAGGCGGCGCCGCAAGUCGCGUGUGAAAGCCCCGGGCUCAACCUGGGAGGUGCGCGCGAGACUGUGGUGCUGGAGUUCGGGAGAGGAGCGUGGAAUUCCCAGUGUAGAGGUGAAAUUCGUAGAUAUUGGGAAGAACACCGGUGGCGAAGGCGGCGCUCUGGACCGAGACUGACGCUGAGGCGCGAAGGCGUGGGGAGCAAACAGGAUUAGAAACCCCAGUAGUCC
rnacentral:rRNA from 1 species